GGCCGGAUGGUGAAGCAGUAACACGAUCGUCUGCAAAACGAUUAUGCGCGGGUGCAAUUCCCGCUCCGGCCU
rnacentral:tRNA from 1 species